rnacentral:rRNA from 1 species
GAUGAACGCUGGCGGCGUGCUUAACACAUGCAAGUCGCACGGGAGCAGCAAUGCUCUAGUGGCGAACGGGUGCGUAACACGUGAGAAAUCUGUCCAUCGGCGGGGGAUAGCCGGCCCAACGGCCGGGUAAUACCGCGUACGUCGGCGUGAACGCAUGUUCUUGCCGGGAAAGCAGCAAUGCACCGAUGGAGGAUCUCGCG